rnacentral:piRNA from 1 species
UAUCAUCAUCAUUAUUGAUACUUGGGUUC